CUGUAGACAUCGAAAUUUCGGUAAAUAAAUGUUGACCGAUAAAUCAAAGUGUCAACGCUCAUGUAUUACAUAAAUUUUACACAUAGCGUGUGACUCGACGAAAAUUGAAAUGAGUUGGAAAAGUCAUCAAAUAGGACACGUGUCAACACCUGGCAGAAACGACGAUUGGAGGAGAAGGGAUUGAAGGAUGGGCGCCAUAUGUUGUCUGGAGAAGAAGGGAUUGCCUCUUCACCAAGGUUCAAGUCAAAACGACGAUCGGAGGGGCCAGACAUUUUCAAAAGUGUUGAAAGAAAGAAGAAGAUCGGACAAAUCAAAAUCUUAGAAGUGCAAGAAGGGAGUUUCUACAAGCAAAAAAUUCAAGUGUGCUUUGAAACAAACUGCAUGCCUCUAUAAAAAAUCAGCACUCGACGGGAUUUCAGAGAUCGAAGAGGCGAGCUCAGAAUUCGAAGAGGCCAUUCAAAAAUCGAAGAGGCAAGCUCGGAAAUCGGAGAAGCAUCUUGCUUUUCCAGACGCGUCGGCACCCAUCACAUGCAAACUCAGCUUUGCGGAAAUCACGGGUAAUUUGUCGAAGCGCCGAUCCCAGAUAUCGAAGAGGCGCCAGUCUUUUUCAGCCGCGUCAUCACCUGUCAUAUGCACACUCAACUUUGCGCAAAUCACGGGCAAUUUGUCGAAGAUUUUCGGUGAAGGAGAAAGCACGUGAAAGUUUACUGUUCAAUCACGCGUUAGUUGCCGACACGAGUGAAAGAAUAGUACCUCUACAGGUAUCAAAGAACUUCCUAUAAUUGUCUACCUUCGCCUUCCAUAGCAAGGCAGACAUACAGAGCAUUUCUUCAUCUCCAAAAAAAUGUUUUCCCAACGAAGCCUCUCGAGUCAUUCAAUAUUCCUUAUUCCUUGGGGUACCUCCGCAAGCCAAUGACUCCAAAGCAAAAGUAUCUCAUAUCACCAGGGUAGAAAGCAAGAGUAUCUCAUAUCAUGCGUUCUCCCUGUCCUUUCCUUUGUCCUUGUUCUUACCUACAAAGACAAGGAUAAAGAAAACAAUAUGCCGGAACUUCCACUCAAACUCGGGUAAGGAACCGACUGCUUGGAACCCUUCCCUGAUUGCCUACCUAGCACUGCUCUCGAGUACUCGCCUUCCACUGCUGCUGUACUUCCAAAGAAGCUGCCACAUCUGCCUGGAGAACAGAUAAGGCAAGUGAAAAUGAUACCUUGCAGCAUGUGGAGACAAGGUGCAAAAUGAACAAGCAGAGAAGAAUGCAGUCUGCACAGUCAACUCAGCAGAAGGAGUCCGAGCUAAAGAACUCGAGAAGCUGCCAUAUCUGCCUGAAGAAACAAGCAGAGAAGAAUGCAGCAUGCACAGUCAACUCGGCAGAAAGAGUCUGAGAUGAAGAACUCGUUUGACCCUCAAAUUCUUGGGUCGACUUACUAGGCGUUGUGGGCUGCACGUGCCGAUUCACCACCCUUGAAUCAAAUCCUUAAAGAUCAAGUCACCAACUGGAAGAAUAGCCCAUCAAUCUUGAAGAUCAUAUCGUUGACCAAACUGCUCAGGUGUGAAUUAGAAAGAUUGAACAAAGAAACAGGUUGUCACCUUUACCUCGUGCCUGCUUGCCAUGUGUUCGAGUCAACCUUCAAGAAUCAAGCCUCAACGGCCCUUGAAGAAGUUUCCAGCUAAAUUCAAGAUCAAGCCUUGACGGCCCUUGAGGAAAUCACAAGUCCGAUUCAAGAUCAAGUGUCUACCACCCUUGAAUCAAAACCUAGUUCAAGAAUAAGCUGUGGAAAAUCAACAAUUGGAGGAAUCCAGAAAAUCCUCCAACCCAGUUCAAGAUCAAAGCUGUGGAAAGUCAACAAGCGCAACAAAAUACGUGCCGAUUCACCCACUACCAAAGCCAAAGAUCAUCUACCACAUGAAGCUCCUUGUGGUCCAAUUUCAACCUUCAAGAUCAAGUCUCGACGAUCCUUGAAUAAAUUUCAAACAAAAGUUCAAGAACAAGCCUCAACGGCCCUUGAAGAAAUCUCAAGCCCAAUUCAAGAUCAAGCCUCAACGGCCCUUGAAGAAAUCUCCAGCCCAAUUCAAGAUCAAGCCUCGACGGCCCUUGGAUCGACAUCUACAGUAAGGGACUUCAAAACGCAUCUCCUACACGUGACAAGCACAUGUAUACAACGCGCCUUGAAGUGGGGGCAUUUGUAGACAUCGAAAUUUCGGUAAAUAAAUGUUGACCGAUAAAUCAAAGUGUCAACGCUCAUGUAUUACAUAAAUUUUACACAUAGCGUGUGACUCGACGAAAAUUGAAAUGAGUUGGAAAAGUCAUCAAAUAGGACACGUGUCAACACCUGGCAGAAACAACUUAUUUCAUCUGGAAUACUAUAUUCAAAACUAGGCCUUGGAAACUUCUAUAAAUAGAAGGCUAAUUCAUUCAUUUGGG
rnacentral:lncRNA from 1 species